rnacentral:rRNA from 1 species
CCUACGGGAGGCAGCAGUCGAGAAUCAUUCACAAUGGGGGAAACCCUGAUGGUGCGACGCCGCGUGGGGGAAUGAAGGUCUUCGGAUUGUAAACCCCUGUCAUGUGGGAGCAAAUUAAAAAGAUAGUACCACAAGAGGAAGAGACGGCUAACUCUGUGCCAGCAGCCGCGGUAAUACAGAGGUCUCAAGCGUUGUUCGGAAUCACUGGGCGUAACGCGUGCGUAGGCUGUUUCGUAAGUCGUGUGUGAAAGGCGCGGGCUCAACCCGCGGACGGCACAUGAUACUGCGAGACUAGAGUAAUGGAGGGGGAACCGGAAUGCUCGGUGUAGCAGUGAAAUGCGUAGAUAUCGAGAGGAACACUCGUGGCGAAGGCGGGUUCCUGGACAUUAACUGACGCUGAGGCACGAAGGCCAGGGGAGCGAAAGGGAUUAGAUACCCGUGUAGUC